rnacentral:rRNA from 1 species
AGAGUUUGAUCCUGGCUCAGGAUGAACGCUAGCGGCAGGCCUAACACAUGCAAGUCGAGGGGUAACGAUGGAGCUUGCUCCAGGCGACGACCGGCGCACGGGUGAGUAACGCGUUUGCAACCUACCUCUAACUGGAACAUAGCCCGGAGAAAUUCGGAUUAAUAUUCCAUAACACUAUGAUUUGGCAUCUUAUUAUAGUUAAAGUUUCGGCGGUUAGAGAUGGGCAUGCGUGACAUUAGCUAGUUGGUGAGGUAACGGCUCACCAAGACAUCGAUGCCUAGGGGGCCUGAGAGGGUGAUCCCCCACACUGGUACUGAGACACGGACCAGACUCCUACGGGAGGCAGCAGUAAGGAAUAUUGGGCAAUGGACGAAAGUCUGACCCAGCCAUGCCGCGUGCAGGAUGACGGCCCUAGUGGUUGUAAACUGCUUUUAUACGGGAAGAAAAGUUCCAACGUGUUGGAAUGUGACUGUACCGUAUGAGUAAGCAUCGGCUAACUCCGUGCCAGCAGCCGCGGUAAUACGGAGGAUGCAAGCGUUAUCCGGAUUCAUUGGGUUUAAAGGGUGCGUAGGCGGAUUGGUAAGUCAGUGGUGAAAUCCUCUCGCUUAACGGGAGAAUUGCCGUUGAUACUAUCAAUCUUGAGUACACUUGAAGUGGGCGGAAUGUGUCAUGUAGCGGUGAAAUGCAUAGAUAUGACACAGAACACCGAUUGCGAAGGCAGCUCACUAAAUUGUAACUGACGCUGAGGCACGAAAGCGUGGGGAGCAAACAGGAUUAGAUACCCUGGUAGUCCACGCUGUAAACGAUGAUCACUAGCUGUUGGCGAUACACUGUCAGCGGCUGAGCGAAAGUAUUAAGUGAUCCACCUGGGGAGUACGAUCGCAAGGUUGAAACUCAAAGGAAUUGACGGGGGCCCGCACAAGCGGAGGAGCAUGUGGUUUAAUUCGAUGAUACGCGAGGAACCUCACCUAGGCUUAAAUGCUUUUUGACCGUCCUGGAAACAGGAUUUCCCUUCGGGGCAAAUUGCAAGGUGCUGCAUGGUUGUCGUCAGCUCGUGCCGUGAGGUGUCGGGUUAAGUCCCAUAACGAGCGCAACCCCUAUUCUUAGUUGCCAUCAGGUAAUGCUGGGAACUCUAAGGAAACUGCCUACGCAAGUAGUGAGGAAGGUGGGGAUGACGUCAAAUCAGCACGGCCCUUACGCCUAGGGCUACACACGUGCUACAAUGGCCAGCAUAGUGGGUUGCUACCUGGUAACAGGAUGCUAAUCUCUAAAUCUGGUCUCAGUUCGGAUUGAAGUCUGCAACUCGACUUCAUGAAGUUGGAUUCGCUAGUAAUCGCGCAUCAGCAAUGGCGCGGUGAAUACGUUCCCGGGCCUUGUACACACCGCCCGUCAAGCCAUGGAAGCUGGGAGUGCCUGAAGUCUGUAACCGCAAGGAGCGGCCUAGGGUAAAACCAGUAACUGGGGCUAAGUCGUAACAAGGUAACC